rnacentral:rRNA from 1 species
UACGUAGGCAGCGAGCGUUGUUCGGAUUUACUGGGCGUAAAGGGUGUGUAGGCGGUUGUUUAAGUUUGGUGUGAAAUCUCCCGGCUCAACUGGGAGGGUGCGCCGAAUACUGAAUGACUUGGAGUGCGGGAGAGGAAAGUGGAAUUCCUGGUGUAGCGGUGAAAUGCGUAGAUAUCAGGAGGAACACCGAUGGCGAAGGCAGCUCGCUGGGACGUGACUGACGCUGAGACGCGAAAGCGUGGGGAACAAACAGG